rnacentral:lncRNA from 1 species
GAAAGUUCUAUGGAGACUAUAUUUUCUGGAGGCUUUAGAGACUUAAUCACAAACAUCAAUUUCUUACACAUCCAAGGGCCGCAGAUAUUUGUCCUGUACAUUUGUUUUCUCUCUCUAUCCUGUCCUGCACUUCUAAAUCGGUGGACAACAAGCGGUACCUCUAAAUCAUGCAUAACAUAAAAUAAUAAUUCCAUAAUAUUGGUGUUCAAUCACCGAAAUCCUAACAAAUAAAAAUAAUAAUUGCAUACAAAACAAAGAUGUAGUUGGACAUUGCUAUGAUUGGCACCGAACUCAUUGGUAUUAUCCUGCAACGAAUAGAAUUUGUUGCAAGACAAAAUAACACUUAGAUAUAUCACAAAUAUGCGGGACAAAUUAUUAAUAUUACAUUACUAGAAUUGUUGGACAAGAAUAGUGUAAAUUAUAAAGAUAGUUUUGAAUUAAAACUAAAAGCAGGACAAGAAUAUUAUUAAUACUUUACUACAAAUGCUGGACAAGAAUAGUGUAAAUUAUUAAUAUUACAUUGCUAGAAAUGCUGGACAAGAAAUGCAGGAUAAAGAAUAUUUGAUCAUGUCC